ensembl:lncRNA
UCCUGAGUGUCAUUAUUCAUUUUGAGUAUUCUGUGGCCUCAGGUUGUAGCUGAGCUUCCUCAGUGAAUGCAGCUGAUCUGAACCAGGGCUGCCUUACCCCCCUUCUCACUCCCUUCGUGAAAUCCACAAGAAGAAACUACUGAUGGAAGGUGGCCAGAUAACAGAAACUACACCAGAGUACUGUGACAGAGUUUGAACAAGGGGGCACUGUUUCUUGGAAACUGCUGGAAACACUUAUCUCCCCUUCCUUUGGGCUGAAACUGUUAUCUGAUAUAAUUACACAACAUUCAAGUGCAGGAGUGCAGGAAGAAGUGAUAAAAUCAAGAACAGCUUUAAUGAGGCCAGAAAAGGAAGAAAAACUGAGUCAACUCAGAGGAACUUCAAGGUCCUUUUGGUGCUAUUCAAGCAAAGAAAUGGGAAUACUGCUAAAACAGAAGAAGCUGGGCGGAGUCAGAGGGUUGAUUUGGAACUAGCAGAGCAUUCAGUGGUUUCAGCAGGGAGCCCUCAAGUUAGAUGGUGUCAGGAACACAUGGAGGAAUUUGGGAUCUUUGAUGUGGAGAGGAAACGACCAAAUGUCCACACCCGCCCUGCCGCCCGUCAGCUGCCGCUGCGGGUCUCAGCACUGAGACUCAGAUGGGGUUUCACCUCCUCUAGCCGAGUUAAUCCCUCUUCACUUCCAUUUCCUUCCACCCCGACUUUGCUCUUCUCCGUGAAUUUAGUUGGAGCCAGAUCACACACCCCCGCUCCGGGCUCCCCUUCCCUGGAAGCAGGAACUGGAGUGACCCCGGCAAGCCCCAGGAGAAGAGAGAAUCAGCGAGCCCCCGGCGGUCGCCGUGGUUCUGCUGUCGCUGUGCGCCAGCACAAGCAGCAAAUUCCAAGAAGAUGCGAUCAUCGGGAGCUCUGUGAAGACAGGAAAGUGGUUACAAAUGCUCUUUGCCUCAAAGAGAGAGAGAAGAAACAACACUCUGGCUGCAGCUGCACCUCGUGCUUUCUGAUUAAUCUGCUGUUUAGAAACAUUUGCUGUGGUACCCGUGCAUAGGUAGAGGUGAAAACAAACACACCGAUGGAUGCAAAGGGACUGCUUUAUCUCCAGCCAACACAAACAGAGCCUACUUCCAGUGUGAAUACAAAGUCUUCCUACAAAAGGGAUCAGAGAUUGAGGUUUCUUCCUCAGAGCUGUCUACAUUGCACAGUCAGGGAGAGAAAAAUUUGCUAGGGUAUAUGGCAUGACCAUCCACGUGUGGGAUCUAGGAUUUUAAAUGUCAAAGUCCUCCAUGCUUCAAAUACAGCACCUUCUUUAAAAACUGAUGCUACUCAGUAGGCAAAUAUGUCUCAGCAGCAGCAGCAUAUUUUCCUCAGUCUUCUGGCCUAAAUUGUCUCUGUUUUCAUAACAUGCUGCAUAUGCAUCUGUUUGCCCAAAGAGGAGGGAGCAAGUGCUCACAAGCAGCCCUAUCAUGACAGUAAAUGGCAGAAUGAACAAAGUUAAAAGUUCUGUGAAAUGUUUAAUUUCCAGUUCAAUGGCAACAUUCUCCAUACGCGGUUCAGUAGGAAACUAUUGGGCCAGCUGAGAUGAAAAGAGAUGCAGAAAGAAAAUACUAAUCAUAAAUCAAAGAUGGUUUGGGUUGGAAGGAGCUUUAAAAAUCAUCUCGUUCCAACUCCCUGCCAUGGGCAGGGAUGCCAUCCACUAUUCCAGGUUGCUCAGAGCCCCAUCCAACCUGUCCUUGAACACUAAUUGAAGCCUCCCAAGCCAGUUUGACCCAGCCUUCCAUGCUCCACCUGGAGCUAUGUGUUCACAGCACAUCUCUGUAUCUCCCUGGUGAGUCCCUUGUUCCAGAUGCUUUAGGGAAGUGCACAUCCCUGAGCUUCUCUCUCACACUCCAUUGCUGCAAGUCUGAAUGCAUCCUUUUCUGCCCCAGUCUGAAAAGGCCAGCAAAAACCACAGAAUCUGGCCUCGUUUUUGAUAUCUGACAUUCCUUAUUUUCAUUAUCAAAAAGUUUUCUUGAAGCCUUGAAUUUGCCACAGUAGGUAUCCUUUCAAAAUCCGCCAAGUUUGCUGUAGAAAAAACAGAUAACAUUACCUUGGUAUUUGCGGUAUUCCUUGUGCUGCUCUUCCCACUUCAGCGGAAGACUGCUGAGGAUGUUUAGGGAAAGGCUAAGAUAAAUGUUCCUCAAUAUCAAAAUAAACAAUAGAGGCUAAUGUGCA